rnacentral:rRNA from 1 species
AUUGAACGCUGGCGGCAGGCCUAACACAUGCAAGUCGAGCGGAUGAGUGGAGGUUGCUCCAUGAUUCAGCGGCGGACGGGUGAGUAAUGCCUAGGAAUCUGCCUGGUAGUGGGGGACAACGUUUCGAAAGGAACGCUAAUACCGCAUACGUCCUACGGGAGAAAGUGGGGGAUCUUCGGACCUCACGCUAUCAGAUGAGCCUAGGUCGGAUUAGCUAGUUGGUGAGGUAAAGGCUCACGAAGGCGACGAUCCGUAACUGGUCUGAGAGGAUAAUCAGUCACACUGGAACUGAGACGCGGUCCAGACUCCUACGGGAGGCAGCAGUGGGGAAUAUUGGACAAUGGGCGAAAGCCUGAUCCAGCCAUGCCGCGUGUGUGAAGAAGGUCUUCGGAUAGUAAAGCACUUUAAGUUGGGAGGAAGGGCAGUAAGUUAAUACCUUGCUGUUUUGACGUUAACAACAGAAUAAGCACCGGCUAACUUCGUGCCAGCCGCCGCAGUAAGAC